UAGGCGGGCGUGUGUGUUUAAUGUUAAAUCUUAAAGCUCAACUUUGAAAUUGCGUUAAAAACUGCUCGUCUUGAGUAUGGUAGGGGUAAAGGGAAUUCCCAGUGUAGCGGUGAAAUGCGUAGAUAUUGGGAAGAAACACUAAACAGCGAAGGCACUUUACUAGGCUAAUACUGACGCUGAGAAACGAAAGGUAAGGUAGCGAAACGGAUUAGAUACCCGUGUAGUCUUACCCGUAAACUAUGGACACUAAACGGUAAAUUUUUAAUUUACUGUUAAAGCUAACGCGUUAAGUGUCCCGCCUGGGGAGUAUGCUUGCAAAAGUGAAACUCAAAGGAAUUGACGGGGGCCCGCACAAGCGGUGGAGCAUGUGGUUUAAUUCGACGGUACACGAAGAACCUUACCAGGAUUUGACAUGCUAGAUAGUUGCUUGAAAGAGUAACGUGCCGUAAGGAAUCUAGACACAGGUGGUGCAUGGCUGUUGUCAGUUCGUGUUGUGAAAUGUUGGGUUAAGUCCCGCAACGAACGCAACCCUUGUCUUUAGUUAUUUUCUAAAGAGACUGCCUGUAAUAAACAGGAGGAAGGUAAGGAUGAGGUCAAGUCAUCAUGCCCCUUAUGUCCUGGGCUACACACGUGCUACAAUGGGAAAGACAAUGAGCUGCAAAUCUGUAAAUUUAAGCAAAUCUCUUAAACUUUCUCGUAGUUCGGAUUGUGGGCUGCAACUCGCCCACAUGAAGUUGGAAUCGCUAGUAAUCGCCAGUCAGCUAUAUGGCGGUGAAUCCGUUCCCGGGCCU
rnacentral:rRNA from 1 species